GACUGAGGUCCCCAAACCUGCUCUGGGCAGCAGAGGUUCGCAGAGGAAGGGGUACCACUAGGGCCCCAUAGCCAGACUGAGAGGAGUGAGGAAAGAAGGCUAUGGAGAGCCAGUUAGAGGGAGGAAAAACUGCUCUGGCCUCUGGUUGAAGAGUGGGUGUGCACUGAACCUUGUAGCCUCCAGGGGGCGCUCAGGACCAAGUAUGGACAAGCACUUUGCCCGCCCAGGCCAGAGGGCCGCGAGGAACUCUGGAGAAGCAGAAAUGGCCGCCUCGAGAGUGAGCAGAGAAGCAAGGCCAGUCCUAUUUGGGUCCCCUGAGAAGAGUUGCCUUGUGCCCUGUGACUGAUACCAGAAUGGCCAACAUAUCCACUGCCUGAGUUCCCAAAUGGACACAGUCCUCCGCCUCUUAGCUCCUGCUCAGAACUUGAGCUUCCACAGAACUGCCUGCCAUGCAGAAGACUCUGCUGUCUAGUCCCUGUGAAGCAGCCAAGUCUCAGAUUGAGAUGGGGCAGGCUUUGGGAGUGGCCUCAAGGAGUAUUGAAGAUAGCAGAUACUAAAGAUAGCAGGUGGAAACUACCAAGAAAGACUAAUUACUAGAAAUGCAACCUGCGAAAGAGACACACCUCUUUCUGCCCCACUCAGCCCUUUCCUCCCAGGUGAUUUUUCUUUUUUUUUUUUUUUUAAGAUUUUAUUUAUUUAUUCGACAGAGGUAGAGACAGCCAAAGAGAGAGGGAACACAAGCAGGGGGAGUGGGAGAGGAAGAAGCAGGCUCAUAGCGGAGGAGCCUGAUGUGGGGCUCGAUCCCAUAACGCCGGGAUCACGCCCUGAGCCGAA
rnacentral:lncRNA from 1 species